rnacentral:tRNA from 1 species
GCCCCUCUAGUAUAUCCAAUACAACUGACUUCCAAUCUUUUAAAUCUGGUUUAAACCCAGAGAGGGACA